rnacentral:snoRNA from 1 species
GGAUCGAUGAUGCACCCUCAACAUGCAUUCCUGGGAAAAUUCUGAACAAAAUGAUGUGAGAACUCACUACCGAUCUCCUCAUCGAAAACUGAAGUCC